AGAGUUUGAUCAUGGCUCAGGACGAACGCUGGCGGCGUGCCUAAUACAUGCAAGUAGAACGCUGAAGAGAGGAGCUUGCUCUUCUUGGAUGAGUUGCGAACGGGUGAGUAACGCGUAGGUAACCUGCCUUGUAGCGGGGGAUAACUAUUGGAAACGAUAGCUAAUACCGCAUAACAAUGGAUGACCCAUGUCAUUUAUUUGAAAGGGGCAAAUGCUCCACUACAAGAUGGACCUGCGUUGUAUUAGCUAGUAGGUGAGGUAACGGCUCACCUAGGCGACGAUACAUAGCCGACCUGAGAGGGUGAUAGGCCACACUGGGACUGAGACACGGCCCAGACUCCUACGGGAGGCAGCAGUAGGGAAUCUUCGGCAAUGGGGGCAACCCUGACCGAGCAACGCCGCGUGAGUGAAGAAGGUUUUCGGAUCGUAAAGCUCUGUUGUAAGUCAAGAACGAGUGUGAGAGUGGAAAGUUCACACUGUGACGGUAGCUUACCAGAAAGGGACGGCUAACUACGUGCCAGCAGCCGCGGUAAUACGUAGGUCCCGAGCGUUGUCCGGAUUUAUUGGGCGUAAAGCGAGCGCAGGCGGUUUGAUAAGUCUGAAGUUAAAGGCUGUGGCUCAACCAUAGUUCGCUUUGGAAACUGUCAAACUUGAGUGCAGAAGGGGAGAGUGGAAUUCCAUGUGUAGCGGUGAAAUGCGUAGAUAUAUGGAGGAACACCGGUGGCGAAAGCGGCUCUCUGGUCUGUAACUGACGCUGAGGCUCGAAAGCGUGGGGAGCGAACAGGAUUAGAUACCCUGGUAGUCCACGCCGUAAACGAUGAGUGCUAGGUGUUGGAUCCUUUCCGGGAUUCAGUGCCGCAGCUAACGCAUUAAGCACUCCGCCUGGGGAGUACGACCGCAAGGUUGAAACUCAAAGGAAUUGACGGGGGCCCGCACAAGCGGUGGAGCAUGUGGUUUAAUUCGAAGCAACGCGAAGAACCUUACCAGGUCUUGACAUCCCGAUGCUAUUUCUAGAGAUAGAAAGUUACUUCGGUACAUCGGUGACAGGUGGUGCAUGGUUGUCGUCAGCUCGUGUCGUGAGAUGUUGGGUUAAGUCCCGCAACGAGCGCAACCCCUAUUGUUAGUUGCCAUCAUUCAGUUGGGCACUCUAGCGAGACUGCCGGUAAUAAACCGGAGGAAGGUGGGGAUGACGUCAAAUCAUCAUGCCCCUUAUGACCUGGGCUACACACGUGCUACAAUGGUUGGUACAACGAGUUGCGAGUCGGUGACGGCAAGCUAAUCUCUUAAAGCCAAUCUCAGUUCGGAUUGUAGGCUGCAACUCGCCUACAUGAAGUCGGAAUCGCUAGUAAUCGCGGAUCAGCACGCCGCGGUGAAUACGUUCCCGGGCCUUGUACACACCGCCCGUCACACCACGAGAGUUUGUAACACCCGAAGUCGGUGAGGUAACCUUUUGGAGCCAGCCGCCUAAGGUGGGAUAGAUGAUUGGGGUGAAGUCGUAACAAGGUA
rnacentral:rRNA from 1 species